rnacentral:rRNA from 1 species
ACUCAAAGGAAUUGACGGGGGCCCGCACAAGCGGUGGAGCAUGUGGUUUAAUUCGACGCAACGCGAAGAACCUUACCAGCCCUUGACAUGGGGGUUAUGGGAUCCGGAGACGGAUUCCUUCGGUUCGGCCGGGCCCCACACAGGUGCUGCAUGGCUGUCGUCAGCUCGUGUCGUGAGAUGUUGGGUUAAGUCCCGCAACGAGCGCAACCCUCAUCUUCAGUUGCCAUCGGUACGGCCGGGCACUCUGAAGAAACCGCCGGUGACAAGCCGGAGGAAGGUGGGGAUGACGUCAAGUCCUCAUGGCCCUUACGGGCUGGGCUACACACGUGCUACAAUGGUGGUGACAGUGGGACGCAAAGGGGCAACCCCGAGCUAAUCUCCAAAAGCCACCUCAGUUCGGAUUGCGCUCUGCAACUCGAGCGCAUGAAGUCGGAAUCGCUAGUAAUCGCGGAUCAGCACGCCGCGGUGAAUACGUUCCCGGGCCUUGUACACACCGCCCGU